rnacentral:rRNA from 1 species
AGCAGCCGCGGUAAUUCCAGCCCCAAUAGCGUAUAUUAAAGUUGUUGCAGUUAAAAAGCUCGUAGUUGAAUUUCGGGAUCAGUACGCCGGUCGUGCCUCCGGUAUGUACUGGUGUCACUGAUUCCUCCCUUCUGAAGAACCAUCAUGCCAUUAAUUUGGUGUGGUGGGAAAUCAGGACUGUUACUUUGAAAAAAUUGAGUGUUUAAAGCAGGCUCGCGCUUGAAUACAUUAGCAUGGAAUAAUGAAAUAGGACGUUUAUCCUAUUUUGUUGGUUUCUAGGAUUGACGUAAUGAUUAAUAGGGAUAGUUGGGGGCAUUAGUAUUCAAUUGUCAGAGGUGAAAUUCUUGGAUUUAUUGAAGACUAACUACUGCGAAAGCAUUUGCCAAGGAUGUUUUCAUUAAUCAAG